rnacentral:rRNA from 1 species
AUUGAACGCUGGCGGAAUGCUUUACACAUGCAAGUCGAACGGCAGCACGGGAGCUUGCUCCUGGUGGCGAGUGGCGAACGGGUGAGUAAUGCGUCGGAACGUGCCGAGUAAUGGGGGAUAACGCAGCAAAAGUUGUGCUAAUACCGCAUACGCCCUGAGGGGGAAAGUGGGGGAUCGCAAGACCUCACGUUAUUCGAGCGGCCGACGUCUGAUUAGCUAGUUGGUGGGUAAAGGCCUACCAAGGCGACGAUCAGUAGCGGGUCUGAGAGGAUGAUCCGCCACACUGGGACUGAGACACGGCCCAGACUCCUACGGGAGGCAGCAGUGGGGAAUUUUGGACAAUGGGGGCAACCCUGAUCCAGCCAUUCCGCGUGAGUGAAGAAGGCCUCGGUUCG